rnacentral:rRNA from 1 species
AUGACGGGGCUCGAUGUCCAAAAGCAGUUGGAGGACGCAGCUGCAGAGCGGAGCGGCAUCGCCAAGGCUCUCCUCUCGAUCCAGCAGACGCUAGACCGGAUGGCGCCGUCAGUCGAGAAGAUGGAGCCGGUGGUCGCGAAGAUGGAGCCGGCGCUUGUUGCCCUUGAGCCAGUCGUCCAGGAUCUCGCAGCCUGGCGCCCGGGCGUCGAUGCGGAGGUUGGGCGACUUCAGGACGACCUCAGCGACAUUCGGACGCAGCUUUCCAAGAUCGCGUUCGGUGCGGGCGCGGCAAGCACGGCGACAACGCCGGUGCCCUCGCCAACGGUGGUCGCGCCGCUCGUCGACCAAGUUACCAGUGGUGAUGACUACAGGCCAAUGGGCCGUCGCGAGCCUUCUCCUACUCGGGCCUCGACGUUUGGGGGGGGGGGGGACUCCUCCCAGCGCCGAUCCUGGCCAAUGGUACAUUUCGCACGCCUUUCCCAAACAUUCCCAUUCCGAAUCCUCUGGAGUUGUGUAGCGCGAGCGGAUCUCUGGGGGUGCGCAGUGGAAAUUCUAGAGUGGACUGCCCUGAAUUUGACGGGGAAAAUCCCACAGGGUGGAAAAUUCGCUGUGAAGCGUGUUUCCGCAUUGGGGGCGUGGAUCCGUCUGUGUGGAUCGAUACUGCAGUAG